UUAAGAAUCUUGCGCAAUGGGAGCAAUCCUGACGCAGCGACGCCGCGUGAAUGAUGAAGGCCUUCGGGUUGUAACGUUCGAUAAGCAGGGAAGAAUAAGUCCGGGGUAAUAUUCCGGAUGAUGACGGUACCUGCCUAAAGCCCCGGCUAACUACGUGCCAGCAGCCGCGGUAAUACGUAUGGGGCGAGCGUUGUUCGGAAUUAUUGGGCGUAAAGCGCGCCUAGGCGGGGGACUAAGUUAGUUGUGAAAGCUAUGGGCUCAACCCAUAAAUGGCAGCUAAGACUGG
rnacentral:rRNA from 1 species